rfam:Triticum urartu cultivar G1812 contig1213572, whole genome shotgun sequence.
UAAGUACUCCCUCCGUUCGAAAAUACUUAUCAUAGAAAUGCAUAAAAAUGAAUAUAUUUAGAACUAAAAUACAUCUAGAUACAUCCAUUCCUCCGACAAGUAUUUCCGGACGGAGAAAGUACUAC